UGGCGAUGAUUAAAUGUUAUCCGCGCUUCUGAGAGAAAUCCAUGAAGCAAAAAAAGAUAAUAUGGUUGAAUUUCUUGAUAUGAGCCA